rnacentral:snRNA from 1 species
AUGUCUAACCAUCAAUGGUGGG